UGGGACAGAGCUGCUGUCUAGCUUGGACCGAAUCUCCACUACAGCUGCAGUUCUUCAAGCGCGCCCAUGCAAGCAAGAAUCUGGGACUGUGGAAAAUGAUUGCUGAAUGUGCUUUUGGCAGAUUGAAAUCCCACCGGAGAUGUUUACAGACACAUCUGGAUGACAGUGUCAUUAAUGCUGUCUGCAUUACUGAACCUUGCUGAGCUCUUGACAAUCUUUGUGAAGCCAGAGAAAUCCAGUUAGCUGGCCUUGCACCAGAAAAGAAGGCUAUGCUCCCAGGACUGGGAAGCAGCAAACUUAGGAAAAGGCUUGUUCUUGUCAGUCUCUAAUGCAAAUAUGGAAGGCUCUCUGCUACUCUGUUUGCAGUUCGGUGGUGAGAAGACAAUGGAAGGUUAACGCUGAAUGACUGCUACACUAAAACAAGGAACUUGCAUCUGUUUUCUCGGGAGUCAGUUGGAGAUUCUUUGAAUAGUGAAGGCAAAUAAAGUUGACUCAUGGGAUUGUUGGACUCCCAGGACCUGAGUCAGGAGGGAUGCAUCAACAUUACAAAGGAACAUGGCUUGAACCCAGGGUCCUUGCUUGAAUUGGAGUUGGACCUUCUAUACUGUAGGGGCCUAUGGUCCUGAGUCGAUGCCAGAG